GAAAUAAUUCACACAGAGGUGUGUAACUAAAGUCAAUCCUGUCAUCCUGUUUCAGAUCUACUUUGAUUUAGUGUCACUGCUCCACUGAAUGAGUCGCUGAGCUUCAGCUGACAUUUAACCUGUGAGACUGACUGAUAGACGUGGUACUGGACAAUCCUUGUACUGGAUUGUUAGCAUUAGGGUUGAGGUCUAUGCGCAUUCCUGCAAGUCUGUAUUUAUAUAACAGGUAAUGAGAUCCUAACGCAGGACUGUGUGUGCUGUAGUUUAGCUUUGGUUUUCCUCUUUGCUGCCUUUCAAAUUCAUUCCUAAACAAUAUUUCUUACAACUGGCUACGUUUAACCUUCAUACAGUGACCAGUCAUGGGAAAACCUUAACAGUGUGGGAGCUCAGAUUACGUCUGCCGUGUUUCAUGAGGCAGAGCUGGUUGUCUGCAGAGCACAAGGUGUUUGGCUUUCUUAAUUCAGUGUAAUUGAUUGGCAAAGAAUACCACAUUGAUUCAGUCACUCAGCCUGCCUGUGUCUGACACAGGAGUAAUAGCCACUCGACAUUUUCAUCUGCCAAAAUAAUGCCUUUUUUUUUCAGAGUCAGGUUGAACCCUUUAUCAUAUUGAAGAAGGUGGAGAGGAGGCACGGGAACAGCUAAUGAGGUCAAAGAGUUCAAAUGCUGGGUCACGCAAACACUGUUGAGCAGGUUAAAGGAGCUGUCCACAGAAGUGUGUGGCACCUUUUUCUUCUGUCAUGUGACAUCCUCACACAGAGAGUGGAGCAGGCUAAACAGCAGCAGUCUGGCAAACGGGGGUGAUUCAGACGAGCAGAUGAACACAGUUAUGCAUGGACAAAUCCCAUGUUUGCUGGGUAGGUUUGACCAGCCAGCUGCCUGCAUGAUGAUGUGAGCCUUUAAUGUUCAUCCAAACUUGUUUUUUUUAAUCAACUUUGAAAGUUUUUUCUAGUGAAUAUCUAUCUAUUAGCUAUUAUUAUCUAAUAAUAUAAUAUUAUUAUAUAAUAUUAUUUAAUAAUAUUGAAACUAUGAUACAUCCUGUGAAAAAAGAUGCUGCAGUUAUUUUAAAAAAUGCUUUAAUUAGUUUCAAAUGAGAUUUUUGUGUUGAUCUCUCCCACACUCAUGAAGUUAUGAGGCCUCAGAAAUACUAAAAUCAUAAAUCAAACUUUAAGUCGGCCUUUUUAUUUACAGCAAGGUUUAUGAUAAGAAUGUAAAAAUGUGCUUGGCUGCAUUAUAUGGAUCAUAAUGUAUGUAAAUUUAGUGAAGUCUACCAAACAAGAGAGCAGCUGGUUCAAGUCCAGCCCUGAAUAAUAUUUCUUGAACUUGUGGCAACAUUUAGUAUAAGUCAACAGAACCGGCUCUGAGCUGCUUAUAUUUAAUUUUAAUUUCAAAUCAAAGCCACAUAAAACAUUUUAGACACUUGAGAUUAAAAGUGUUUGUCACGCCCUGCUCUGACUGAGCUCUUUGUAGAGGUUAGGUCACAAGUUGGCCUAAUUUUGGUACAUUAUAACAGUGCGUGCAAAAUAGCAUACCGC
ensembl:lncRNA